rnacentral:rRNA from 1 species
CACCAAGGCGAUUCUCUGUAGGGUGUGAGAGAGGGAUCUCACCCACAGGGGGAGUGACACGCGCCCCAGUCUCAUGCGGGAGGCCGCAGUGAGGAAUUUUCCACAAUGGGAGAAAGCCUGGGGGAGCAAUACCGCGUGAGGGGAGAAAGCCUUGGGGUUGUAAACCUCUUUUCUCAGGGAAUAAUAAUGAAGGUACUUGAGGAAUCAGCAUCGGCUAACUCCGUGCCAGCAGCCGCGGUAAUACGGAGGAUGCAAGCGUUAUCCGGAAUGAUUGGGCGUAAAGCGUCCGCAGGUGGCAAUGUAAGUCUGCUGUUAAAGCGCAAAGCUCAACCUUGUAAAAGCAGUGGAAACUAUAUUGCUAGAGUGCGGUAGGGGCAGAGGGAAUUCAGAGAGUAGCGGUGAAAUGCGUAGAUACUCUGAAGAACACCAGUGGCGAAAGCGCUCUGCUGAGCCUCCACUGACACU